GAUGAACGCUAGCUACAGGCUUAACACAUGCAAGUCGAGGGGCGAGCAUUUUUAGUUUUGUCUUGCAAACUAAAAGAUGGCGACCGGCGCACGGGUGAGUAAACACGUAUCCAACCUGCCGAUAACUCGGGGAGUAGCCUUUCGAAAGAAAGAUUAAUAUCCGAUAGUAUAUUAAAACCGACAUGGUUUUACUUAUUAAAGAAAUUUCGGUUAUCGAUGGGGAUGCGUUCCAUUAGUUUGUUGGCGGGGUAACGGCCCACCAAGACUACGAUGGAUAGGGGUUCUGAGAGGAAGGUCCCCCACAUUGGAACUGAGACACGGUCCAAACUCCUACGGGAGGGCAGCAGUGAGGAAUAUUGGUCAAUGGACGAGGGGUCUGAACCAGCCAAGUAGCGUGAAAGGAUGACUGCCCUAUGGGUUGUAAAACUUCUUUUAAUAUGGGAAUAAAGUAAUUCCACGUGUGGGAUUUUGUAUGUACCAUAUGAAUAAGGAUCGGCUAACUCCGUG
rnacentral:rRNA from 1 species